AGUGAACGCUGGCGGCAUGCCUUACACAUGCAAGUCGAACGGUAACAGGUCUUCGGAUGCUGACGAGUGGCGAACGGGUGAGUAAUGCAUCGGAACGUGCCCAGUUGUGGGGGAUAACUGCUCGAAAGAGCAGCUAAUACCGCAUACGACCUGAGGGUGAAAGCGGGGGAUCGCAAGACCUCGCGCAAUUGGAGCGGCCGAUGGCAGAUUAGGUAGUUGGUGGGGUAAAGGCCUACCAAGCCGACGUUCUGGAGUUGGUCUGAGAGGACGACCAGCCACACUGGGACUGAGACACGGCCCAGACUCCUACGGGAGGCAGCAGUGGGGAAUUUUGGACAAUGGGCGCAAGCCUGAUCCAGCAAUGCCGCGUGCAGGAAGGAGGCCUUCGGGUUGUAAACUGCUUUUGUCCGGGAAGAAAUCCUCUGGGUUAAUACCCCGGGGGGAUGACGGUACCUGAAGAAUAAGCACCGGCCAACUACGUGCCAGCAGCCGCGGUAA
rnacentral:rRNA from 1 species